rnacentral:snoRNA from 1 species
UUGGCAUAUGAUGAGAAACAGGACAAAAACGUCUGCAGCAUUCCAGAUCCAAAUCAGGGAUGCCAUAGCAUGAUGACUCUUGUCUAGGGGAAUCUCUGAUGCUGA